GACGAACGCUGGCGGCGUGGAUUAGGCAUGCAAGUCGAACGGUAGAUAUCCUUCGGGGUAUUGAGAGUGGCGAACGGGUGAGUAACACGUAGGUAAUCUACCCUCAAAUCGGGGACAACCCAGGGAAACUUGGGCUAAUACCGGAUGAGUGCAGCACCUAAAUCAUCCAUACGGAAUCUGGUUAAGAUUGGGUUUUGUAUGGUUGGGUGAUUUAGGUGCUGUAUAAAAGAUGGCUUCGGCUGUCGUUUGAGGAUGAGCCUGCGCUCUAUUAGUUAGUUGGUGAGGUAAUGGCUCACCAAGGCGAUGAUAGAUAGGCGGCCUUAACGGGUGGUCGCCCACACUGGGAUUGAGAUACGGCCCAGACUCCUACGGGAGGCAGCAGUCGAGAAUAGUCUACAAUGGACGAAAGUCUGAUAGUGCGACGCCGCGUGAACGAUGAAUCCCUUCGGGGUGUAAAGUUCUUUUAUAUGUGAGCAAUGCCUUAUAUGUGAAUAGC
rnacentral:rRNA from 1 species